rnacentral:rRNA from 1 species
UACGUAGGGGGCUAGCGUUGUCCGGAAUCAUUGGGCGUAAAGCGCGUGUAGGCGGUUCGGUAAGUCCGCUGUGAAAGUCGGGGGCUCAACCCUCGGAUGCCGGUGGAUACUGUCGGGCUUGAGUACGGAAGAGGCGAGUGGGAUUCCUGGUGUAGCGGUGAAAUGCGCAGAUAUCAGGAGGAACACCAAUUGCGAAGGCAGCUCGCUGGGACGUUACUGACGCUGAGACGCGAAAGCGUGGGGAGCAAACAGG